GCCUUCAUUUGCUUAUUUUUUUCCUCGCGGGUACAAUGUGUUUUGAGGCGUUUUUCACGAGCAUGAUAAAAAACUGAAGGUUUACAAACAACAUCUCUUAGCAACCAUCAGUUAAAAACGCAUUGCAUCUGGACUUGUUUCCGGAUGCAAAGCAUUUUUUACUGAACCCCUAUUCACUUCUAUGGGGCCAGGGCUGCGUGAAAAACGCAGAAUAUAGAACAUGCUGCGUUUUUCACGCACCGCAGAACU